UCUUCUUCACUUCCCGAUUACGAUUCAACCUAAUCACCAAAAUCGAUUCAAAAUCAGAUUAGAAAUUUGAAUCAGAUCUUAGUAAGGAAGCUGAAGAGACCAAAGAGGAAUCACGCGAACGCUCUCACCUCUGUGGAAAUAUUCAAAAGGGAACCGAUAUUUGAAACUAGCCGGGAAAAGACUUGUAACAAAACCAAAAGGACAAAAGAUUGAAAUCUAUUUUAAAUUACGAGCGGGUUGAUCCGGAUUAGAAUUUUGGACCCAACGAAGCCCAAUUAAAUCUCGGCGAAGGCCCAUUAUUUCUGGUUCCGUACAGGAGAAGAAGACGAUUUUAGUUGAGUAAAAGUGAUUCAGGUUUUAGUGAACAUAAUUCUUUUUUUGUUAUUGAAGAAAUUGUGCUUGGUUCAAUAAGAAAAUUAGUGAACCUCUUUUUUUUUUUUUUUUUUUCUACUGCGGAAAUCUUCAUCAUACUGUUGUCUCAUUCCAAGUCAAAUUAUUCUAUCUUCUUGUGAUAUCCUAGAGCUGGCUACUUUUUCAUACAUGUAUUCUCAUUUUCGCUAUCUGAGUAAUGGUUGUAUACUUGUAUUGCUUAGUCGUUGUUUUUUAUCUGCGACAUUAGGAUACCAUAAUGAACAGUUGGUUAACCAUAUUGCUUCUAAAGACUCCAUGUUUCGUCAUUUUCUGUGUUGUGAAAGAAUUUGUCUUGUAAGAAAGUAAACCAAGCUUGGUCUUUUCCCCCUACGCUGAGCCAAAUCAGCUGUCUUUCUCUGCGGAAAUUGGCAUUACCAGGGUAAUAUUAAUUUCCAAUCUGUGGUGUGUUCUCGUAUUCACUUCUUGUUUCCUCACAUCAAAGCUUUUUGUUUCUCAUACAACAUUUAUAGUGUUUGUGGGUCUCUGCGUUUUUUAAUAGGUGUUACAGUGUUGCUAUGUGGAAUUGCUAUUGCGUUGUUUGGGAUCUCUCUGUCAUGCUCCUACUGUGAUGUUGUUUGACUUCAUUUGAACCAAGGUAAAUCAUA
rnacentral:lncRNA from 1 species